GCUGCCAGCAUCUACAGGCAAGCUGGAAACACCCCCGGAGCGAGAGAAAACAUACCCGUGAGGCCACGCCCCUUUCACAGCAGGCCACGCCCCUUUUCGGCCGCGGUGGGGUGAGAGAUGUGUGUAACAGUAAUACUGACCCGGUGACGCCUCUGGACACUACUGUUUACCAGCCUGCAGCAGCCGCCCACAGCCUCAACGGCGUUAACACACAGAAUCAGAGGAAAGCUCACAGAUUUGCUUGUUAACAGGGUUGCGGCACCCGUUAUCCCACUAAUUAUUGGGGAUUUUAUUUUGAAUCGCUGAGGCAGGUGAUAAAAAAAUCCUACAUAGCUUCUGACUUCGGGGCUAAUUGGAAAUCCCCGGGGGAUCAAUUAGCCAAAUGAUCAAUUGGAUUCCGGCAUAAGGGUUUCGAUGCCAUGGAACUUCUGUACAUAGGAACUUAGCAGAUGGUUUCCACAAUUGUAAGAAGCCAGUAUGGAUUUCCUCACAGUAAAACUACAAGAAUACAUAAAUGAAAAAUGUGAAACGUGUUUUCUUCCCGUCAACGUGUGGAAUGUGUUUUAAUCGAAUAGAAAGGAAGUGCGC